AUUGAACGCUGGCGGCAGGCCUAACACAUGCAAGUCGAACGAGUGGCGGAAGGGUGAGUACUGUAUGGGAAACUGCCUGAUGGAGGGGGAUAACUACUGGAAACGGUAGCUAAUACCGCAUACCAUCAGAGGUGCCCAGAUGGGAUUAGCUAGUUGGUGGGGUAACGGCUCACCAAGGCGACGAUCCCUCGCUGGUCUGAGAGGAUUACCAGCCACACUGGAACUGAUACACGGUCCAGACGCCUACGUGAGGCAGCAGGGUGGAAUAUGGCACAGUGGGCGCAAGCCUGAUGCAGCCAUGCCGCGUGUAUGAAGAAGUCCUUCGGGUUGUAAAGGACUUUCAGCGGGUAUGCGUUGCCCGCAGAAGAAGCACCGGCUAACUCCGUGCCAGCAGCCGCGGUAAUAC
rnacentral:rRNA from 1 species